rnacentral:rRNA from 1 species
CCAGCUCCAAUAGCGUAUAUUAAAGUUGUUGCAGUUAAAAAGCUCGUAGUCGAAAUUCUGGCUGGUCCUGUUUCCGGCUUCGGUCGACUCAGGACCUAGUCAUCCGUCGGAGAACCCUUGUCGUCCUUCACUGGUCGCUUGGGGGAACUGACCCUUUACUUUGAAAAAAUUAGAGUGUUUCAGGCAGGCUCUCGCCCGAAUACUCCAGCAUGGAAUAAUGGAAUAGGACUUUCUUCUAUUUUGUUGGUUAUUAGUAGAAAGUAAUGAUUAAUAGGGACAGUUGGGGGCAUUCGUACUUAAUUGUCAGAGGUGAAAUUCUUGGAUUUAUUAAAGACGAACUAAUGCGAAAGCAUUUGCCAAGGAUGUUUUCA